CAGUCGAACGAGAAUCUUUGAACAGAUCUUUUCGGAGUGACGUUCAAAGAGCAAUGUGGCGGACGGGCGAGUAACGCGUGAGUAACCUGCCCAUAAGAGGGGGAUAAUCCAUGGAAACGUGGACUAAUACCGCAUAUUGUAGUUAAGUUGCAUGACUUGAUUAUGAAAGAUUUAUCGCUUAUGGAUGGACUCGCGUCAGAUUAGAUAGUUGGUGAGGUAACGGCUCACCAAGUCAACGAUCUGUAGCCGAACUGAGAGGUUGAUCGGCCGCAUUGGGACUGAGACACGGCCCAGACUCCUACGGGAGGCAGCAGUGGGGAAUAUUGCGCAAUGGGGGCAACCCUGACGCAGCAACGCCGCGUGCAGGAAGAAGGUCUUCGGAUUGUAAACUGUUGUCGCAAGGGAAGAAGACAGUGACGGUACCUUGUGAGAAAGUCACGGCUAACUACGUGCCAGCAGCCGCGGUAAUACGUAGGUGACAAGCGUUGUCCGGAUUUACUGGGUGUAAAGGGCGCGUAGGCGGACUGUCAAGUCAGUCGUGAAAUACCGGGGCUUAACCCCGGGGCUGCGAUUGAAACUGACAGCCUUGAGUAUCGGAGAGGAAAGCGGAAUUCCUAGUGUAGCGGUGAAAUGCGUAGAUAUUAGGAGGAACACCAGUGGCGAAGGCGGCUUUCUGGACGACAACUGACGCUGAGGCGCGAAAGUGUGGGGAGCAAACAGGAUUAGAUACCCUGGUAGUCCACACCGUANACGAUGGAUACUAGGUGUAGGAGGNAUCGACCCCUUCUGUGCCGCAGUUAACACAAUAAGUAUCCCA
rnacentral:rRNA from 1 species